AUAAAUCUCUCCUACCUGGAAGAGAAGAAAGGAAGAAACAGGAAGGCGACCCGCUCCUGUGGCUCCCUCCAACCACAGCCCUAUUUUCUCCCUGUUUCGCUCAGAGAGAACCUGCCUGAGAAUGAAGCCAACACCGAGAACACGAGUCGAGAGAUGGAGGAUCCUGAUGACAACCUCUGAACUCCUGGAUCCAGCUGUGCCUAAAGUCAAACUCCUGGUGGCUUUCUGGCCUUUGCAUCCGCACGAGGCUUAACAUGUGGCAGAAGGAACUACCCAGAUGGAUUCUCGUGACUUCAGUUUAUGUGAUUUGAUUUC